rnacentral:rRNA from 1 species
UACGUAGGCAGCAAGCGUUGUUCGGAAUUACUGGGCGUAAAGAGUGUGUAGGCGGUGUUCUAAGUCUGGUGUGAAAUCUCCCGGCUCAACUGGGAGGGGUCAUUCGAUACUGGCGGGCUCGAGGCCGGUAGGGGGAAGCGGAAUUCCCGGUGUAGUGGUGGAAUGCGUAGAUAUCGGGAGGAACACCAGUGGCGAAGGCGGCUUCCUGGACCGGUUCUGACACUGAGGAGCGAAAGCGUGGGGAGCGAUCCGG